rnacentral:rRNA from 1 species
AGUCGAACGAAGCCCUCGGGUUUAGUGGCGCACGGGUGCGUAACGCGUGGGAAUCUGCCCCUUGGUUCGGAAUAACUGUUGGAAACGACUGCUAAUACCGGAUGAUGACGUAAGUCCAAAGAUUUAUCGCCGAGGGAUGAGCCCGCGUAGGAUUAGGUAGUUGGUGUGGUAAAGGCGCACCAAGCCGACGAUCCUUAGCUGGUCUGAGAGGAUGAUCAGCCACACUGGGACUGAGACACGGCCCAGACUCCUACGGGAGGCAGCAGUGGGGAAUAUUGGACAAUGGGCGAAAGCCUGAUCCAGCAAUGCCGCGUGAGUGAUGAAGGCCUUAGGGUUGUAAAGCUCUUUUACCCGGGAUGAUAAUGACAGUACCGGGAGAAUAAGCUCCGGCUAACUCCGUGCCAGCAGCCGCGGUAAUACGGAGGGAGCUAGCGUUAUUCGGAAUUACUGGGCGUAAAGCGCACGUAGGCGGCUUUGUAAGUAAGAGGUGAAAGCCCAGAGCUCAACUCUGGAAUUGCCUUUUAGACUGCAUCGCUUGAAUCAUGGAGAGGUCAGUGGAAUUCCGAGUGUAGAGGUGAAAUUCGUAGAUAUUCGGAAGAACACCAGUGGCGAAGGCGGCUGACUGGACAUGUAUUGACGCUGAGGUGCGAAAGCGUGGGGAACAAACAGGAUUAGAUACCCUGGUAGUCCACGCCGUAAACGAUGAUAACUAGCUGUCCGGGGACUUGGUCUUUGGGUGGCGCAGCUAACGCAUUAAGUUAUCCGCCUGGGGAGUACGGCCGCAAGGUUAAAACUCAAAUGAAUUGAC